rnacentral:rRNA from 1 species
GAUGAACGCUAGCGGCAGGCUUAAUACAUGCAAGUCGAACGGUAAGUAUUUUAGCAAUAAGAUACGAGAGUGACGUACGGGUGCGUAACACGUAUGCAACCUACCUUGUACAGGAGGAUAGCUCGGGGAAACUCGAAUUAACCCUCCAUAAGAUCGUGGUGAGGCAUCUCACAGCGAUAAAAUCUUAGGAGGUACAGGAUGGGCAUGCGUCUGAUUAGAGUUGGUGCGGGUAACGGCCCACCAAGACGAUGAUCAGUAGGGGACCGUGAGAGGGUGGACU